GGCAGCUCGGGGCGCGCGAACCCACACCUGUCGUUUGAGAACUGCCGCGUGCCUGCUGCUUUACAGGCUCAGCACGUUCUUCUGCAAAGUGGAAGCCACUGGUGGUCACACAGAUUGACUGUUCACUUUUCAAGAGUGGGCUGUGCUCCUUUCCCAAGGAGGGCAAGGACAUAACUUACCAAAGGAAAAAUACGGGAGAACCCCCUCGUCUCACAGCUACGUUUCUCUGCGCGAGUUCUCUUAAGGCACAGAGCUACUUUUCGGCAUGUCACAGAGAGCGAACAUGCAAGCAUGGCGCUUACGGCUUUCCCCCAGAAGUGAUCUGUGACUGGAUCCCGAGCAGACCUGAGCUUUAUAGGGCGUCAUAGGCUGUUGCUCUCGUAAAUGUCACGGACAUAAAACGAACUUUGUGGAAGCACCGAGUUCUCAUGAGUACUGAUUCUGCGACCAGGCCCGGCAGCACAGGGAUGGGGGAGGAAUUGUCCGGAUCCUGGAAUAAUCACGGGGCAGCACAGCCUCGCUCUGGGCUUCUGUGUCCUACUUGUUUACAGACUCGUCAUCCGUUCUGCGGAUUGGGCCAGCGAGUUGCCCUGUUGACAGCCAAAGGCACUCAUGGGAAGACUUAAACAACCAAGUGUGACAGCACACGUGGGGUCACUCCGUCCACCAUGAAAGUAGGACCCGUGUCUGCCUCAGGUGUGAGUCUUUGGAUGGAUCUAUUUGUUACUGGAGGUGGUGGGGAGGAUGGUGUUUGAGGGUUUUGUGGUUGCUGCUGUCUGUGUUGUUGAACUCUUUCUAGGAAAUCAUCGUGGAGCGAUAGCUUUGUGUUAGUUCCUGGAAGGACAUGACCGAGGACACUUGGCCGAGGAAUAGUUGCAGAUCUCGGUGCCACAUUUGGGGAAGGACUUCCACGCUUCGCAGUUAAAGAUGCUCCCUUAAAGGAAACCAACUUUAUUCGUACCUUUGGGUCAAUGUUAGAGAGCAAUAUGUUGGAAUUGGUCUGCAGCCCACUUGCAUCAGAAUCACCUGGGUUUGAUGUAAGAAAUGCAGAUGCUGGGGCCUCACACCAACUACAUCUCUUGGGGUUAGAGCCCAGGUGGUAGCUUCUGUGACGUCCAUUGCUGACUCUAAGGCUUUCCCAACCUAAGAAACACUCUCUUUUACUUUUACAUUGGGGAUUCUUACACAAUGAUCAAAGAAGCCCCAACUUUUUCCUUUACUCCGAAGACUUUAAACACUGGACCGUGACCUUCUUAGGGACAGUGUGACUUUGCUCCUCUCGCACACUCAGCCUAGAGACGGUGCCCAGAUCAGAAAUAAAGCAGGUGAAGAAAAAUGUUUGAUUUCUUUAUACACGUUUUGCUCUCAUAGCCACCGAAAAGACUGUGUUUCAUUUCCUCUAACAGACUCUGUCCACCAGUUAUGUUGCCCAAAACAUAUCGCUAUGUAGCAACAUAGAGAAGUCUCUGUGGUACAUUUAUACAGAAGGACACGCAUCCUAAAGCACUAGGAAGACACAGACGAGGCUUUCACACAACUGGGGGCCUCUCAGGUGCCACUUAAGUAUGAUCACUGGGUUAUCUUAUAGAGGACUCUCGAUGGGCUUGGUCUGGCCACGAGUCCCAGGUCCCCAGAGAGGACUUAGUUAAAAGGGGACAGCGUAACUAGGCCGCGGUCAUCGCCACACUUUGGAGGCCAUAAACGGAGAUAGGAGGCGCCAGGCUAAGCGGGACAUUGCACGUGGGAAGCCACCACUUUCGCCACGUGGAUUCAAAGCACUCGGGUGCUGCAGUGUAGACGGACGCCCAGCCCACGCUGGCCGGGCUGAGCUGGCCCCGAGCAGGCGUACAUCUGGGAGUAGUGCUGGCUGAGCCCCACUGUCCCUCAGGGCACCGCUGUCACUCGUGUGCUUUAGAACUGCUGAGGAGCUCCCGUGUGGGGACCACGCGUCCCAUCCGGAGGGAGCAGGGUCCUGUUUCCCCUGGGUGACCACGUGAGGACGGGCACUGAAGCGAAAAGUAGCCGUUGCGAGUUCCCAGGCCAGUGUGGCGUUUAGAAGCAGGGUCACAAGGCCCUGUACAAACCGUGCCUGUUCUGGGCUGCA